UUAAGCAUAUCAAUAAGCGGAGGAAAAGAAACCAACAGGGAUUACCUCAGUAACGGCGAGUGAAGCGGUAAAAGCUCAAAUUUGAAAUCUGGCUCUUUUAGAGUCCGAAUUGUAAUUUGUAGAAGAUGCUUCGGGUGUGGUUCCGGUCUAAGUUCCUUGGAACAGGACGUCAUAGAGGGUGAGAAUCCCGUAUGUGACUGGAUACCUAUGCUCAUGUGAAGCUCUUUCGACGAGUCGAGUUGUUUGGGAAUGCAGCUCAAAAUGGGAGGUAUAUUUCUUCUAAAGCUAAAUAUUGGCCAGAGACCGAUAGCGCACAAGUAGAGUGAUCGAAAGAUGAAAAGCACUUUGGAAAGAGAGUUAAACAGUACGUGAAAUUGUUGAAAGGGAAGCGCUUGCAAUCAGACUUGCACUUGGUGUUCAUCAGGGUCUCGUACCCUGUGUACUUCAUCAAGUUCAGGCCAGCAUCAGUUUGAGUGGUUAGAUAAAGGCUUAGAGAAUGUGGCCCUCUUCGGGGGGUGUUAUAGCUCUAGGUGCAAUGUAGCCUACUUGGACUGAGGACCGCGCUUCGGCUAGGAUGCUGGCGUAAUGGUUGUAAGCGACCCGUCUUGUAACACGGACCAAGGAGUGUACCUAAUAUGCGAGUGUUUGGGUGUUAAACCCAUACGCGUAAUGAAAGUGAACGCUGGUGAGAACCCUUAAGGGUGCAUCAUCGACCGAUCUUGAUGUCUUCGGAUGGAUUUGAGUAAGAGCAUAUUGGGUGCGACCCGAAAGAUGGUGAUCUAUACGUGAAUAGGGUGAAGCCAGAGGAAACUCUGGUGGAGGCUCGCAGCGGUUCUGACGUGCAAAUCGAUCGUCAAAUUUGCGUAUAGGGGCGAAAGACUAAUCGA
rnacentral:rRNA from 1 species